UUAGAAUUUUAUCCGCUUGUAAAAAUGUUUUUUUAAUAAAUUUCAGUGUGUAUAUAUAUAUAUAUAUAUAUAUAGAGUUGGAUUGGGCUACUAUUAGUAGCAAAAUUUCAUUGUUGCUACCAGUUUUUUAGCCUUUGGAUCAACUCUUUUCAUUAUUUCUAACCAUUGGAUUAAAUAUUAUAAUCCAGUGGGGACCACUCAACCCUAGGGGGACCACUCAACUCUAACCGACUAAUAUCAUCCUGACCCUACAAUUUUUCAUCCAAGGGUUAAAAACUUGAUAGCAAAAAGAGCAUUUUACUAUUAAUAGUAUUCCAGC
rnacentral:lncRNA from 1 species